UACGUAGGGUGCAAGCGUUGUCCGGAAUUAUUGGGCGUAAAGAGCGUGUAGGCGGCCAGGUAGGUCUGCUGUGAAAACUCGAGGCUCAACCUCGAGACGUCGGCGGAAACCAUCUGGCUAGAGUCCGGAAGAGGAGAGUGGAAUUCCUGGUGUAGCGGUGAAAUGCGCAGAUAUCAGGAAGAACACCCGUGGCGAAGGCGGCUCUCGUGGGACGGUACUGACGCUGAGACGCGAAGC
rnacentral:rRNA from 1 species